AAAUUUGACUCCUGGAAAACGUGUUGGUUGGCACAGGAUCCCUUCUGUGGAUGGUGUGCUCAUGAGAACAGAUGCACUUUGGCGAAUGAAUGCUCAAGACCAAGCUUGAUUUGGGUUACCAUAGCAGAGGGGUCUAUUCAAAACCCCAAUCAAAUAUUUUCCUAUAGAUUGAUUGACAGCUCUUCUGAAAAUAAACAGGACAUUCAUUUGACGGCACAAGUCUAUGUAAAGAACUCAAGAGACC